AGGACUGUAGUUAAAUUAACAUUUAAUUUGCAAUUAAAAGAUACUAUUUAUUAGUCUGUCUUA
rnacentral:tRNA from 1 species